UCUCAUGUUCUGUGAAUGCUACCAAUGC
rnacentral:piRNA from 1 species